rfam:Gasterosteus aculeatus cont1.015082, whole genome shotgun sequence.
GACCACGUGGCCUAAUGGACAAGGCGUCUGACUUCGGAUCAGAAGAUGGAGGGUUCGAGUCCCUUCUUGGUUG